AGGCCAGACUCCUACGGGAGGCAGCAGUGGGGAAUAUUGCACAAUGGGGGAAACCCUGAUGCAGCGACGCCGCGUGAAGGAAGAAGUAUUUCGGUAUGUAAACUUCUAUCAGCAGGGAAGAAAAUGACGGUACCUGACUAAGAAGCCCCGGCUAACUACGUGCCAGCAGCCGCGGUAAUACGUAGGGGGCAAGCGUUAUCCGGAUUUACUGGGUGUAAAGGGAGCGUAGACGGCGAUGCAAGCCAGAUGUGAAAGCCCGCGGCUCAACUGCGGUAGUGCAUUUGGAACUGUAUGGCUGGAGUGCAGGAGAGGCAGGCGGAAUUCCUAGUGUAGCGGUGAAAUGCGCAGAUAUUAGGAGGAACACCAGUGGCGAAGGCGGCCUGCUGGACUGUAACUGACGUUGAGGCUCGAAAGCGUGGGGAGCAAACAGGAUUAGAUACCCGUGUAA
rnacentral:rRNA from 1 species